rnacentral:lncRNA from 1 species
CUAGUUUAGAAGACUCGUGAAGUCAGGACCUGCCUCUAUGACUUAAGAGCUGCUGCAUAGAUCCCUAUGCUGUGAGCAUCUGUCCAGCCCAGUGCUCCCACCAAGCCUUACAGACACUACCCUGCCUCCCAGACCACAGAAUUACUGUCAGGGAAAAGGGCAAUGGAGCCAUUUGCCUGAUUUUGGCAUUUGAUUGGAGAUGGGAGUGGGGUGUCUCUUUACUGGGUCCUCCCUCUACUUGGGGGCUAGGGCUGCUCAGCGAGGGGCAUGGGAGUCCCAGGGAGAGUGAAGGUGGCAGGCUGCAGAAUGGCUGGUAGACAGCCGCUAGAGUCUGGUGUUCCCUGAACUCAGGUCCUAUGAAGUAGCACCUCAGCUCCCUUUCUAAACGUAAAAGUCCUCCUUGCCCCGACUUCAGCCACACCCCAAUUCACCUGGACCACCGUGUAUCCUCUGCUGCCGCAGAAGGGGUCUUGCGGGUCUCCUCUGGGAUUGGCUGCAUCAGGCUAGAGCGCUGGGAUGGCAUGGGCACCGCUGUGUACCGUGCCCUCCCACCUCAGACCUAGGACAACCCACAGGGCAGCACCGCCCAAGUCCACGUGUCAGUCCCAGUGCUUCCGUCUAACUCUCCCAGGACGUGUUGCCCCCGGAAUUGAGUCCCCGCCCCACUGAUGUCCCGGGAGGCAGGGCCAGGGACCUUCGAGCAACUAGAGGCUUACCACUGGGACUUCCUGCUGGGGAAGAGAAAUCCCUGGGGGUUUUGUGGCCCGAGACCCGCCAGAAAUAACUUUCUUGUCAGGAAAGUGAGCAGCUCUACGUAUGACGUUGGAG